rnacentral:misc_RNA from 1 species
GAGCCUGCUAUGCUCUUUCAUUGUCAGAAUAGAUUUUUCGAUGUAUAAAACGCGAAUAUUUAUUUAAAAUUACAUAUUAUUUCCAAAAAAAUGACUGAAAAUGGAUAAGCCAGAGAAAGAUAAUAUACCGACCAUACAAGAUAAUUCUGCUGGUAGUGCUGACAUGACUACUCCGCCUAAUAAACCCAAAAAUCGCGGUAAAAAACGGAAACGGCGAGACAGUGAGAGCAGCACAGACUUAGAAGACAUUCUUCCAGAGAACACUCUUGAAGUUGAAAAGAAUCUCCAAGCAUCAGCUAUUAAAAAUAAUCUGGAUGAUGCUAGCGUUAAAAAGAUUUUGAAGAAAGUGGUGACAAAUGACCAUGUGCUGGCACUGGUCAAAUUACGUGAAGAGGAGGAGAACUCCAGCUCUGUGCAGGCCAGUCUUCAGCCCAAACUGACCCGCGCUAAAGUCAAGGAGUUAAUGAAAGUAUCGCCAAAAUCAGCGCCAUGGAACUUGGAACUGACUCCAAUCAAACACAUACCGGUGAAGACCAGACCGGAGGUGGAAGCCCUCAUCUCCAAAGACCUGCCUGAAGAUGAAGAUGAUGAUGAGUAUCAACCUACUCACGAUGAUGUCCCGAGUGACGACGACCAAACCCUGGAGUCAUGCAGCGACCUGGAGUCACAGCCGCGCACGCCCGCCACGCCUGGCAGUAUCCACGCCAGUCCCAGGGUGCUCAAGGACGGGCCCUUCAAAGUGCCAAUGAGCAUAACAACACCAACUCGUCGAAAGCUUAUAAUAGAAGAAGAAGAGGCGACAAUUGCACUCCGGACUCGGUCCAAACUGAGUUUAUCGUCCACAUCAAUCGAGCAUAUAGAGAGUUCGUUCGUGCCACCUGAUGAAGUACCGACUCCAGUGGUGGAUGACCUGUGGAACCAGUUCUUAGAGCAGUGUUUGAACCCCGCAGAGGUGUCGAAGCAUGAAGACGACGAUGAGGCGGACCCGGAGUACAAUGUUGCUGCUGAUCCUGACGCGCACGACGAGGAUGAGGAAGCCCUAGAGAACAGCAUCAUCAAGAUAUCCAAGAAGGAGCUGAAUGACCUGGUGACGGAGCUGUUCAGCAUCAUGCCGGAGGUGACAGCUGACGACCAGCUCGCCGAGAACCUGGCGAACAACGUGCUCACUGACAACAAUGCUACUGAGAUCUCAAGCCACUGGGAAGGCAAACAAGAGCCAAUGUCGGAAGACGAGAAAGAGAAUCAGGAAAACAAAUUCCGCGCCCAGAAAAUAAAUCAGCAGAAAAGGGAUAGCGCUGUUAGAUUUUCCAUUGGUAAGAGCGAGCCAGAAGAUUCUGAAUAUAACGAUGCUGGGGAGAGCAGUGGAAUAGAAGUGAAGAAGGGACAGCAAGCUAAUGUGAGGAUUAUACACAAGGUCCUCCCGCACACAGUGAACAUCUCAGUGGAGGAGAAGGCUGUGCCGCUUCAGCCCGACAACGUGCCCCCGCCGACCGGCCCCUCGCCGCCGCAAACGGCGCCCCCGUCGCUGCGCUCGCUGCAACAAGGAAACACCACGCGCCUCCAAGUGCAAAUUGAUAGCUCUGUCACUGUGUUACCAGAACAGAUACAGAUCCUGCAACAGCAGUUGCGGCAGCACAUACAACUGGCCACCUCCAACUUCCUGCAGCUAUACGUCAACCCCGUGCAUUGGAAUCUCGCGCCCACCUACAAGGAGUACUUGGAACAAUUCAGCAACAUGGUGCAGAAAGACCCGAAUUCAGUGGUGAACGUGUGUAACUUGAAGCCGGCAGUAGAACUGGUCGAGGGCUGGCAGAAGACUGUCUCCCAAGACACGCCCGAGAAUAAGAAGAUGGUCGAAUUUAUCCAGGAUGAAUCCGAGAGGAGCCGACGCCGCUUUCACCAGAACUCGUUGUACAUUGGCGAAUUCCCCGAGCUUUUCCUGCAAACUGUGGCCAAUAGCGGAGUGUUCCUGUAUCCGUACCUGCUGCCAGCUAUGCCGUACCGCGCCGACAGCCACAGGAAGUUCUCGUACAAACACACUGAGGACGAGUUGAUAGCCCUCGGUCUCGACCAGUUCUGGCAGUACAUAGAUGACAAUCCGCAGUUGUUCAAGCGGUCUCAGCACUCAAAACGCUCGAACUGGGGCCUGGCGCAGUCGUGCGCGCUCAUCUGCAAACAUAUGUUCCCGUGGCUAACCCCCAGGUGGCUGCAGUCGCAUAUACACCGGGCCAAGAAGGACAAAGAGAACCCGCUUUAUAAAUUCUUCCAAAAGCGUGAGAUAACGCCAGUUAAACACAAGAUCCUGCCGUACAAUCCAGCCCUCACCUUGUAUGAGCAGCCCGAACACGAGAUGCCGCGGAUCUGGAUACGAUACCUCGCUAAAAGCAGCAAGAGGUUCAGGACUUACCUAUACAAGCGAAGAUUCGCAGGUUUACCGCCAGACGGCGUACCUAUCAAAAACAACAUCAAAGAGCCUAUCAAAAAGCCUUUACCCAUCGACUUCACAAAACCUAUCAUUUGCAAUAGAAUUUUCAACGACCCUAAAGAUAUUCCCCCCUUGAAAGACAAAUUUGACGUGCAAAUAGUACCAGGGAAUAAUGAAAAUAUAGAGGUUGGUGUAACCGUUGCUAUAACUCCUGGUAAUCUGGUCGCGGCAAACGAAACGUGGUCUAUUGGCAACGUUGUUGGGAACAUGAUGACUGCUGUCAAAUUAGUUGUAAAUAAUACAUCUGAAGCCGAUAAAACUAUCAGCACUGCAGAUAAUACUAGUAUUAGUAAUAUAACAGCUACUACAGGGAGUAUUACAGGACCUUUAAUGAGUAUUAACGCAGGCGUUAUAACACUGGAGCCCACUAAUAUAGGGAACAACACAAAUAACCAAACGGAUGUUAAUACGACAAAUAUAGGUGACGCCAUAAAAGUAACCGAAUCAGUAGAUGCAAAAACUGAGAGUAACGAUACAUGUGUAGAAAAUUUGACGACAACACGGAAUGUAGCCAAAGCGAUAGCAAGUUUGAUCCCUGUAGGUAAGAUACCUAAUGUUGUAAGCAAAGAAAUAGCUACAGACGGUGAAAUUGUACGCAAAAUAACAGGCAAUAACACAAAUCCAGCUCAAAACAGUUACGUACUCCCUCCAAACAUGUACAGAGUAGUUCCAACGAGUCUUGGAGCGUAUUUAGUACCUCUAACGCCAUUACCAUCUACUGCUACAGUCAAUAGCAUCAACAAGCCUAUAUCAAGCACUGUUCCAAAUACAAACGACGUUUCCGGACCGUCGAAAAACUCUAUUCUGACAGAAAUAUUGAAACAAGCAGAAAGACUAAAAACCCACUGCCAAUGUUGCAUCUUGAUGAAGAAGAUUUGUAAGGAGAAGCAGUCUCUGAUAACAGACUUUUUCAAGACAAAGAAAGUUGACGUAAAAUGUGAAUGUACAUAUAGAAAGUACCCGAGAAUCACAAAUAGGUUAAGAAUGUUGGUUAAUAAUUAUAAGAAUCGAUCUCGGUGCGAGCAAAAUAAAUUGGAAGCUAUGAUGGGAGCUAGGAAUGGAACUAGUGACCUGUUAUGUGAGACAGAAAAGGAGUCAAGUGAAGAGAAUCGUCUUGAUGACUUAGCAUGUGUAACGUCCUACCAAAUGAAGCUGACCAUUAAAUCCGCGUUAGUGCGGAACAUAUACACGAAGAAAAAAAUACACACGCUGUUCUCAACCUUUGACGCUGAUUCGCACGACCCGCUCACCCUCGCAAAAGAAAUGUACAGAGCUCUAGAAAUAGAACUCCUGGAUUUGUACAAAGAGUUUGUAGGAUUCCUAACUGCUGAACAAGCGGACAAGAUAAAUAGAUUCAAGGAUUACUUCGUCAAUAGAUGUAUGGGUGAUCUGUUGAAAAGAGUUGAGGAUCCGCUUACCUAACCUGAAGAUUUGACAGGUCCGGUUUUUUACAGAAGCGACUGCCUGUCGGUCUUUCCAAUCCCCGAAGGGAAAACCAGCUCAAUACAGGUAGAAAUAACAGACGCAAACAAAAGAUGGACGGUCCUGUGUUACCUCAGGACGAUAUUCAAUGACAACGUAUCGACAUCAUGUCAGAUAUGUACCAGGAUACUCGCUCUAAUCAUGGAUUACCCACA